rnacentral:rRNA from 1 species
GAAGAAGCUUGCUUCUUUGCUGACGAGUGGCGGACGGGUGAGUAAUGUCUGGGAAACUGCCUGGUGGAGGGGGAUAACUACUGGAAACGGUAGCUAAUACCGCAUAACGUCGCAAGACCAAAGAGGGGGACCUUCGGGCCUCUUGCCAUCGGAUGUGCCCAGGUGGGAUUAGCUAGUAGGUGGGGUAACGGCUCACCAAGGCGACGAUCCCUAGCUGGUCUGAGAGGAUGACCAGCCACACUGGAACUGAGACACGGUCCAGACUCCUACGGGAGGCAGCAGUGGGGAAUAUUGCACAAUGGGCGCAAGCCUGAUGCAGCCAUGCCGCGUGUAUGAAGAAGGCCUUCGGGUUGUAAAGUACUUUCAGCGGGGAGGAAGGGAGUAAAGUUAAUACCUUUGCUCAUUGACGUUACCCGCAGAAGAAGCACCGGCUAACUCCGUGCCAGCAGCCGCGGUAAUACGGAGGGUGCAAGCGUUAAUCGGAAUUACUGGGCGUAAAGCGCACGCAGGCGGUUUGUUAAGUCAGAUGUGAAAUCCCCGGGCUCAACCUGGGAACUGCAUCUGAUACUGGCAAGCUUGAGUCUCGUAGAGGGGGGUAGAAUUCCAGGUGUAGCGGUGAAAUGCGUAGAGAUCUGGAGGAAUACCGGUGGCGAAGGCGGCCCCCUGGACGAAGACUGACGCUCAGGUGCGAAGCGUGGGGAGCA